GAUGAACGCUAGCGACAGGCUUAACACAUGCAAGUCGAGGGGCAGCACAGGUAGCAAUACCGGGUGGCGACCGGCGCACGGGUGAGUAACGCGUAUGCAACUUACCUAUCAGAGGGGGAUAACCCGGCGAAAGUCGGACUAAUACCGCAUGAAGCAGGGGUCCCGCAUGGGGAUAUUUGCUAAAGAUUCAUCGCUGAUAGAUAGGCAUGCGUUCCAUUAGGCAGUUGGCGGGGUAACGGCCCACCAAACCGACGAUGGAUAGGGGUUCUGAGAGGAAGGUCCCCCACAUUGGUACUGAGACACGGACCAAACUCCUACGGGAGGCAGCAGUGAGGAAUAUUGGUCAAUGGGCGUAAGCCUGAACCAGCCAAGUCGCGUGAGGGAUGAAGGUUCUAUGGAUCGUAAACCUCUUUUAUAAGGGAAUAAAGUGCGGGACGUGUCCCGUUUUGUAUGUACCUUAUGAAUAAGGAUCGGCUAACUCCGUGCCAGCAGCCGCGGUAAUACGGAGGAUUCGAGCGUUAUCCGGAUUUAUUGGGUUUAAAGGGUGCGUAGGCGGCCUUUUAAGUCAGCGGUGAAAGUCUGUGGCUCAACCAUAGAAUUGCCGUUGAAACUGGGGGGCUUGAGUAUGUUUGAGGCAGGCGGAAUGCGUGGUGUAGCGGUGAAAUGCUUAGAUAUCACGCAGAACCCCGAUUGCGAAGGCAGCCUGCCAAGCCAUGACUGACGCUGAUGCACGAAAGCGUGGGGAUCAAACAGGAUUAGAUACCCUGGUAGUCCACGCAGUAAACGAUGAUCACUAGCUGUUUGCGAUACAGUGUAAGCGGCACAGCGAAAGCGUUAAGUGAUCCACCUGGGGAGUACGCCGGCAACGGUGAAACUCAAAGGAAUUGACGGGGGCCCGCACAAGCGGAGGAACAUGUGGUUUAAUUCGAUGAUACGCGAGGAACCUUACCCGGGUUUGAACGCAUUCGGACCGAGGUGGAAACACCUUUUCUAGCAAUAGCCGUUUGCGAGGUGCUGCAUGGUUGUCGUCAGCUCGUGCCGUGAGGUGUCGGCUUAAGUGCCAUAACGAGCGCAACCCUUGCCACUAGUUACUAACAGGUGAUGCUGAGGACUCUGGUGGGACUGCCAGCGUAAGCUGCGAGGAAGGCGGGGAUGACGUCAAAUCAGCACGGCCCUUACAUCCGGGGCGACACACGUGUUACAAUGGCGUGGACAAAGGGAAGCCACCUGGCGACAGGGAGCGAAUCCCCAAACCACGUCUCAGUUCGGAUCGGAGUCUGCAACCCGACUCCGUGAAGCUGGAUUCGCUAGUAAUCGCGCAUCAGCCAUGGCGCGGUGAAUACGUUCCCGGGCCU
rnacentral:rRNA from 1 species